UUUUAUUUGUUUAAAAUAGUAAUAAUAAAAUAUUUAUGUUGAUUAUUCUAUAAAUUUUAUAAAAAGAAUACUUUUAAAAAUUUAUUUUUAUUUUAAUUAUAAAAAUAUUAAAAUUCAAUAAAAAUAAAUUUAAGUAAUUAAUUAUCAAUUACAUAUAUACUUAGUAUAUUACUUUAAUAUCUAUUUUAUUGUAUUUGAAUUUUUAAUAAAAA
rnacentral:tRNA from 1 species